CCACCCUCUCCAGACCUGGGAAACCAGGGGAUGAGCCCACCAUGUGGAAUUCAGAUGGGCCUUCUGGCUACCCCAGGGGCCUCCAGCUCAGCUUCCUGGGUGUGUCAGAGAGGCGUGCCAGGAGCCAGAGCUGAGGAAUGAGGCUGGGCUUACUGCCACCCAGGAGGAGUCCCUCUGGAGAGCCUCAGAAAGUACCUGCAAUGGCAAUACAACAGAAGAGCCUCUAAAUAUCUCCUUUUGGGGAUACGGCAGGAAAGCCAAAGGAAAUGUGAAGAGAUGUCUGAACGCCCAGAGGAAACCAGUGGGCCCUUCCAGGAGUUCUAUUUGCGGUAAGAAACCUUGGCAUGGGGCAGCCAGCUCUCCUGCAAAAAUAGACCAAUGUGCUGAGAAGCAGCUCAAUUCUGGGAGCAAUUCCCCUCCAUGGGGAAGAGAGCUUGCACUGGGACUUAGAAGGAUCUGCCCCCUCUCUUCUUCUUGCCCCUGGACUCCAGAACCAAAAACGGGGAGAAAAAAAGGUAAACAUUUUUUUAAAAAAGAACUCUUGGCCAGGUGGAGUGGCUCACACCUGUAGUCCCAACACUUUGGGAGGCUGAGGCAGGAGGAUCACUUGAGGCUAGGAGUUUGGGACCAGCCUGGACAACAUGGCAAGACCCUGUCUAUCAAAAAAAUACAAAAAUUAUCUGGGUGUGGUGGCACAUGCCUGUAGUCUCAGCUACUUGGGAGACUAAGGCAGGAAGAUUGCUUGAGCCUGGGAGGUCGAGGCUGCAGUGAGCUAUGAUCAAGACAGUGUACUCCAGCCUGAGUGACAGAGUGAGAACCCCAUCUCUUAAGAAAACAAAAAACCAGAACUUAUGAAUGUAUCCAUGACUUAAAUCAAAAAUGGGCCAGUGGAAACACAGGGCAAAGGAAGGUUUCAAAUAAGCACCUGGACACAAACGGACCCAGGAGGUGACACACAGUAUUGAGGACCCACUCCCCAUCACUAGGUCCUUUGGCCUCAAAUGAGUGAGAUGACUAAGAAAAUAGGGCACCAUGUGCGGCAGAAGUGAGGGUGGCUAGACAGAAAAUGACGGCCUUGACUGUGAUGGUCAUCACAGACAGGACCCCUAAGAAAGGUGGCCAAGGGGGUCUGGGGACCCAUCUUUAGAAUACCGGGCUGACAGCAUAACAGGGGUUUGGGACACCACCAUGAAAGAAGACAAUGAAGCCAGGUGCAGUGGCUCACGCCUAUAAUCCCAGCACUUUGGGAAGCCAAGGCAGGAAGAUUGCUUGAGCCCAGGAGUUUGAGACCAGCCCGAGCAACGUAGCAAGACCCCCAUCUCUACUAAAAAUUUAAAAAUUAGCGAAGCAUGGCUGGGCACGGUGGCUCACGCCUGUAAUCCCAAUACUUUGGGAAGCCAAGGCGGGUGGAUUACGAGGUCAGGAAUUCAAGACCAGCCUGACCAACAGGGUGAAACCCUGUCUCUACUAAAAAUACAAAAAUUAGCCGGGUGUGGUGGCAGGCUCCUGUAACCCCAGCUACUCAGUAGGCUGAGGCAGGAAAAUCGCUUGAACUCAGGAGGUUCAGUAAGCCAAGAUCAUGCCAUUGCACUCCAGCCUGGGUGACGGAGUGAGACUCCAUCUCAAAAAAAAAAAAAUUAGCCAAGCACAGUGGCAUGUGUCUGUAGUACCAGCUACUUGGGAGGCUGAGUGAAGAGGGAGGAUUGCUUGAGGCCAGGAGUUGGAGACCAGACUGGGCAACAUAGCGAGACCUCAGCUUGGAAGUAAGGAAGGAAAGAAGGGAGGGAAGGAGGGAUGAAGGUAGAAAGAAACGGGACAAGAUGGACUCCUGAGGCCAUCCUAAUUCUGGAACACAAUACAAUGGCCUCUGUAUGUUAGGAGGGCUCAUUUGGCUUCUCUCUAAGCCAGCAGUCCACAUCUUUUUGGCACCAAGGACCAGUUUUGUAGAAGACAAUUUUCCACGGAUGGGGGCGGGGGGUGGGGGUGGGAGGGGAUGGUUUCGGGAUGAAACUGUUCCACCUCAGAUCAUCAGACGUUAGAUUCUCGUAAGAGGUGCCCAACCUACAUCCCUUGCACGUGCAGUCCACAAUAGGGUUUGUGCUUCUAUGGGAAUAUAAUGCCACACUGAUCUGACAGGAGUCAGGGCUCAGGUAGUAAUGCUCACUCACCUGCCGCACACCUCCUGCUGUGCGGCCGGUUCCCAAUAGGCCAUGGAAUGCUUAUUGGUCCACAGCCCUGGAGUUGGGCACCCCUCUUCUAAGGCAGAAGCUUCUACUGUCUUAGGAGCAGCGUCCUGGCCUCCACAGCAGGGAGAGAGCAGGAAUACCCAGCCACAGAUACUGGUCAAGAUAUUGAUCAACUUCCUACCAUCAUGGUGGAGGCAAGCCUGGAGGCCUCUGGGUGGUCAUCAGGUCACCCCAGCACAUUUUCCUGCCCCGGACUCCUGGCCACGCUGAGGUUGCUGUGAGCAGACACGAUGUGCAGGGUCAUGGAUGUGCAGCUCAAACUCCUUGACAAGCGGGAGAUUUAUUUUAUGGCCCAAGCAGUUUGGAGACAAAAUCGUAAGGUGCUCACCCAUCCAGUGUCUCUUCAGCCGGCACUGGGAGGUGUCAAACUGACCACAUUCGACUGCCCCUUCCGCCCGCAGAAUAUGGGUCUGCGUUUCUCUUUCCCUCUUGGUGGCCAAGAACUGUCAACAUCCAGCUGUGGCUCUGCACUCAGCCGCCGCUCAGCCUGCUCAGGUUGAAAGGUCAAACGUUGUCUGGAAUUGGCAGCCCAGCUUACUAGCAGCUCUUCUGUCUUCAGAGUGCAGUGAGGGGAGCUGUCAGAGGGCUGAGGCAAGGACCAGAGAGGGAACUCCUGCGACAGAGAAAGCUCAGCCCUGGUUAUGUUCUGGAGGGAGCAUAGCAGGGUCUGUCCCAGGAACUUUAUUAGUUAGCGGUUAAGAUCCUCAUCCACAGAAAAGCCGGUAGGAAUUAGCCAGGUGGUGUGUGCCUAUGGUCCCAGCUACCCAGGAGGGUGAGGAGGGAGGACUGCUUGAGCCCAGGAGGUUGAGGCUGCGGCUAGCUAUGAUUGUGUCACUGCGCUCCAGCCUGGGUGACAAAGCAAGAUCCUGACUCAAAAAAAAAAAAAAAAAAAAAAGGAAGAAAGAAGAAAGAGAGAGAAGAAAGAAAGGAGAGAAAGAGAAGGAAGGAAGGAGAAAGGAAAGAAGGAAGGAAGAAAAGGAAGAAAGAAUGACAAAGAAAAGAAAGAAAGACGAAAAGGAAAGGAAAAGAAAAGAAAAAAGAAACAAAAGCAGGAAAGUGAGGGGAGAGGGCCAGGAAGACAGAAGACAGGAUGGGCAAGAAGGGUGGGAAGGAUUCCCACACCAGAUUCAGGAGUGGCUCUGCAUUGGGAAAUCCAUCUACGACUGCUGGGGACUUGGUUUUGCAAACAUGCACAGAGAAACCUUCAUCCACCUCUGUGCAAUGUUGGACUGAAGUAGAAAUGAGCCGCUGUUUUCUGGAAGCACCCCAUUUCUUUGAGCUGAUCUUCUCUAAUAAUGAAUUCUGGUGAAGCCUGCCAUUCACAGCACCCUGCCCUCCCAUCUGUAGGAGGUGGGAACAGGACCCAGGCCAGUUGAUCAGAGAGCUCCCUUGCCCUGGGAUGAGCAUGUGACCCAGAUGUCUCAAUCAUGGGGAAGAUCCUCUUGCCUGUUAUAGCCACUAUGCUGGAAGAACAGGAUGUGGGCUUGCUGGCCGCCAUCUUCCAGUCCACGCUGGGAACCCAUCUGCAGGAGGAGGGAAGGAGGACAACCCAGUUUGAGGGAGCAUAUGGACAGCAGCUAUAGAAGGCUCCAUAUGUGCCCAGUGCUAGAUCCACCCCAUCCCUUCCUGUUCCAUAAAUCCAUACAUCUUCUCUCACUUUUGCUUACCCUAGUUUGAGUUACAUUUCUGACACCUGCCACCAUAAAAGCCCAAAUGAUUACAGAGAAUAUUUGGCUACAGGAAAGACCCUGCAGUCUGUGAAAAAAGAGGCUGCUGGUGCAUAGUCAUCGUAGACCAGUGCAAAGAGUGAAACAGAAACAUCCAGCUUAAUCUGCAAAAGCCUUUUUGGAUCCUUGAGAGGCGCUCAUUAACUUACAGCAAAUUGGUGAGCUGAUACUCUUCUUUCAUCCAGAUCUCUCUCUAGAAGCAUUGGAAGAGGCCGUCUCAAAAAAGAAAAAUAAAAUAGAAGCAUUGGAGGAAAGAUGUGGUUUGUAGUGAAACAAAUUGGAAGUCAAGCUCAGCCUCAACCACUUACUUGCUUCUGACCUUGGCAUUAGGAAGAGGCCGGGUGCCGUGGCUCACACCUGUAGUGCCAGCGCUUUGGAAGGCUAAGAUGGGCAGACUGCUUGAACUCAGGAGUUUGAGACCAGCCUGGGCAAUGUGUCAAGACCCCAUCUCUACAAGAAAUUUUAAAAUUAGCCAGGCAUUGUGGAAUCCUGCUUUGUGUAGUUCAGUGCCUGCUGCCAAGUCAGAGCUGUGACCUCAAUGAAAGUGGCCCAGCCACAGCAAACCUCAGUUUCCAUAACAGUCCUGGGAUCCAAUGUGGCUUUCACACUACAUGUCACUUCACUCUGUUAUCUCUGACAGAAAACCAACUCAAACUGGCUUAAGCAAAAAGGGUACUCACUGGGCCAUGUAACCAAAAAGUGUAGGCAUACAUGUGGCUUCAGGAAUGGCUGGAUCCAGGCACUCACAUGUGGCAUCGGGAGUCCCUCUCCUGGCUGUUGGUUUCAGUUUUCUCUGCAGGGGUUUCAUUCAAGCACUGGUUCCCUCCUCAUAGUGGCAAGGUGGCUGCCCAGGACAAGAGGCUUAUAGCCACGGGCUCAGCUACUUAAGGAUAAGUUCCAUCAGAAGCCCAAGUUGAGGCCGGGCUUGGUGCUCACACCUGUAAUCCCAGCACUUUGGGUGGCCGAGGUGGGUGGAUCACUUGAGGUCAGGAGUUCGAGACCAGCCUGGCCAACACAGUGAAACCCUGUCUCUACUUAAAAAAAAACAAAACAAAACAAAAAAAAAAACCAUGAAAAUUAGCUGGGUGUGGUGGCACGUGCCUGUAAUCCCAGCUACUUGCAAGGCUGAGGCAGGAGAAUCACUUGAACCUGGCAGGCGGAAGUUGCAGUGAGACGAGAUCACGUCAUUGUACUCCAGUCUGGGCAACAGAACGAGACUUCGUUGGCAAUGACUGGGUCAUCUGUCCAGUCCUGAACCGGUCACUGUGUCAGGUAGAAGCAUUGUUUGAUUGGCCAGGCCUGGGACACACGGCCAUCUCCAGACCUAGGAAUGGCAUCAUCUCUACCCAAACCCCGUGAACCAAGAGUUGGGGAGGAGCAAAGCUUCAGAGAAAACUCUGGGCCCUGUCAUCAAGCAGAGGAGGAAAGGAGGCCACACAGACUGAGACAUCAAGUACCCACUGUGCCCUCACCACCAGCUCCCGCCCUGGCCAGUGCACUCCUGGACCAUCUCUCCUCCCCGUCUUGUUCACAGUCACCCUCUCACCCCAGCAGAGAUCAGGCCAGGGUACUGGUGGCAAGUGAGUGAAGGGUUUCAGCAAGGGGGUCCCCACCUUCCAGGCACAGUGUAAGUGGACCCCCCACACUUGGGGGCUCUCCUGGGUUGCACAGUGUCCUCUGAAAAUUCACAUCCACCUGGAACCUGCAAAUAUGACCUUAUUUGGAAAUGGAGUCUUUGCAGAUGUUGUCAAGAUAAGAUGAAGUCAUACUGUUUUAGGAUGGGCCCUCUAUAUGGCACGACUGGGGUUCUUAUACGAAGAGGGACCCUGGCACACAGAUGCAUACAGGGAGAGUGCUGUGUGAUGAGAAAGGCAGAGAUUGCAGUGAUGCUGCCACCAGCCAAGGAGUCACCAUCAGCCAGGAGAUGGGCAUGGAUCUGAUUCUCCCUGGGAACCUCCAGAAGGAGCCAACCCUGCCAACACCUUGGUUUUGGACUUCUGUUCCCCGCAACUGUGAGACAAUACAUUCUGUGGUUUUAAGCUUUAUGAUAAUUUGUUACUGUAGCCCUGGGAAAGGAAUACAAGGGUAGACAGACACUGAUCAAGUAAGCAAACAAAUGUGAAAUUGCCCUGUGACAAGGGAGGUGCGGGGUGCCUGUGUUGGGGAAGAAUUCUCUGAGACUUGAAGUCAGAGAAGGAGUUAGCUAAUGGGGCCGACAGGGUUCUGCACACGCAGCUCACGGCCCAGAUCUUGUUGGCCAAGUGUUUUUGCAGGGAUUAGGAACUAAGAAUGGUUUUGCAAGAAGAACAUCACAGGCUGAGGGGACAGCAUGGGCAAAGGCCAUGAAGUGGGAGGCGCCCUCUGUGAAACCAACAAGCUUUCAGCCACGUGGGUCUCUCUGACGCGUUGCCUCAGCCACAGAGGGCUUUAAAAAGCCCCGAAACUGGACAGGUGUCACUGCCUGUGGCAGUAGCGGCCAUUUGGCGCCUGUGGUUUCAACUCCACCCGUUUCACAUGUCUAUGUUACCAGACUGGCCCCUGAAGGGGAUCUGUGUGCCAGGCCCUGACCUGCCGGGCUUUGGAAACAUCCUCGACAGUGUCCCCUGACCUGCGCCCCGCCUUGUGGAGUGAGGCCUGGUUGCCCAAGCUGGCUGGGCCGGGCUGUUUGUUGCUUCCAACAAACAUAGGAGAGAACGUAUGGCUGCUUUUUAUUGCCAGUGAGAGUUCCGCGAGGCCUGGCCCGAGAUGUGGCUGGCGUGAGGGGUCCCGGACCUGCUGUGCUGGGGACGCACCCAGUUCUGUGUCGCUUGGUCCAGUGAGGACUCGAGCCCCUUGGAGGCGGGGCCUCGGGCUGCAGGGGCGGGGCCCCGAGCCGCCUGGGGGUGGGGCCUCAGGCUCUUUGGGGGCGGGGCCUCAAGCUGUCUGGGGACGGAGCCUCCGGCCGGCUGGGGGCGGGGCCUCAUGCCUAAGGGGCGGGGCCUCGAGCUUUCUGGGGGUGGGGUCUCAAGCUUCAGGGUCGGGGCCUGGAGCCGCCUGGGGACGGGGCGAUCUGUUGGGGAGGAGGUUCUCGAACUGCUGAGGAGGAUCGCAGUGCUUUUGCUUCCUCUAGGAGACCAGCUGCACAGGCUGGAACAUGCCAUCUCUAUGCCUGUUUUCCCGUCGAUAAAUCCAGAGACAUUACUCUCAUCAUUUCUUCCUCUGUACACAAUAUUCAUAUAUGUAACCCCUUGGUAAAGCAGUUGUAAGAAUUAAACAAGAGGAAUUGCUCUUUCAUUCAGCAAAUAUUUUUUGAGCAGCUACUAGAUGCCAGGCACUGUUUUAGACGCAAGUGAUACUUCAGGAAACAUAAUCAGAC
rnacentral:lncRNA from 10 species